rnacentral:rRNA from 1 species
GUGCCAGCAGCCGCGGUAAUACGUAGGGCGCAAGCGUUGUCCGCCAGCAGCCGGGCGUAAUGAGCUCGUAGGCGGUUUGUCGCGUCUGCUGUGAAAGCCCGGGGCUUAACCCCGGGUGUGCAGUGGGUACGGGCAGACUAGAGUGCAGUAGGGGAGACUGGAAUUCCUGGUGUAGCGGUGGAAUGCGCAGAUAUCAGGAGGAACACCGAUGGCGAAGGCAGGUCUCUGGGCUGUUACUGACGCUGAGGAGCGAAAGCAUGGGGAGCGAACAGGAUUAGAUACCCUGGUAGUCC